rnacentral:rRNA from 1 species
GAUGAACGCUGGCGGCGUGCUUAACACAUGCAAGUCGAACGGUGAAGCCCAGCUUGCUGGGUGGAUCAGUGGCGAACGGGAGAGUAACACGUGAGCAACCUGCCCUGGACUCUGGGAUAAGCGCUGGCAACGGCGACUAAUACUGGAUAUGAGACGUGGCCGCAUGGUCAACGUUUGGAAAGAUUUUUCGGUCUGGGAUGGGCUCGCGGCCUAUCAGCUUGUUGGUGAGGUAAUGGCUCACCAAGGCGGCGACGGGUAGCCGGCCUGAGAGGGUGGACGGCCACACUGGGACUGAGAGACGGCCCAGACUGCUACGGGAGGCAGCAGGGGGGAAUAUUGCACAAUGGGCGGAAGCCUGAUGGAGCAACGCCGCGUGAGGGAUGACGGCAUUCGGGUUGUAAACCUCUUUUAGCAAGGAAGAAGCUUUUGUGACGGUACUUGCAGAAAAAGCGCCGGCUAACUACGUGCCAGCAGCCGCAGUAA